GGAGCGGCCGAUGUGAGACUAGAUAGUUGGUGGGGUAACGGCCUACCAAGUCAGAGAUCUCUAGGGGGUGUGAGAGCAUGACCCCCACCACUGGAACUGAGACACUGUCCAGACACCUACGGGUGGCUGCAGUCGAGAAUCUUCGGCAAUGGGCGAAAGCCUGACCGAGCGACGCUGCGUGCGGGAUGAAGGCCCUUGGGUUGUAAACCGCUGUCAGGGGGG
rnacentral:rRNA from 1 species